ensembl:lncRNA
GGCCAAUGUAUUACGUUGGGAAUAAUGAUUUGUAAAGUAAAAACUGAAGUGUUGUUUUCCACCCGCUCCACCAGGCGGCAGAAUCAGUCUUUAGGUUCAGUUUGACACAUUCAGAUGCUUGACAACAUGACGCUUGAUAAUAGCACGUGCAGACUGAUUUAAAUGUAAAUUCUGCAGAUAACAACUCAAUUACAGACUUAUAAUGUCACUUAACAGCACACACUUCAGCCCAUAAACAAACAAACGCUGUGAUAAAGUGCAGGACUGGAAGAUGUCACGAGACUCACCCGUAAGUUUCCUUCUCUUCCAGUGUAUUUCUCGUCUAAAAUCACUAGCACACGUCUAGCAGUACUUAAUUAAUGUAUUUAAGUCAAUUAUAUUUAUAAUCUUUGAAUUGGUCAUCAUCUAAAAUUCAUGUUAUAACGUGUAAUUAUAAGUAGUUUUAUUUUUUCUCUGUUGUUGUAGUCUUACUGUAUGUAAUAAUCUCCUGGCCUGAUGUUAAUAGAGUUAGUUGGUGUGUGAAGCUGCUUCAUGCUUUAGUAGAGCAACAGUGCUUUGCUUCAGAUCAAAACCAUCAUGUAUUCAGUCAAUGUGCAGAAAAAAACUGCCUUUUAGAAAUACUGUUAUUUACUGUGAUUUUAAUUUUUUUUAUUAUUUUUAUAUUGAUAAAUCAAUGCUUAAGUAUAAUGUAGUUUAGACUGACUGUAAUAUGUUGAGUUUUAGAUACACAGUUUGGAGUGAUGUGUGUUUAUGUCUGUCCUCUACAGAAUAAGGGAUGUUUGAAGUGUUACUCUCAACAAACAGAAGCAUGUGGACACUGGACAGACAUUGACUGUAAUGAUGGACAUCUGCUGAAGCACAGGCAGAAGUAUAACCCCUGCUGGACAUUGUGCUGGAACUCGGGGAGGACACCAUGAUCCCCCACACCUUCUCACUCACACCAGACCAUUCACUGAUAUCACGGAGAUCUGGCUGGACUUGAACCAGCAACCUCUGAAACCACAAGGCAGCACUCUUACCUCUGAGCCACAGAUCUCAUGUCUGAACAUGUGCAGGAACUUAUAUUUCACUAUUCUCCCUGUCAGUUUACAAUAAACCAGUUACAUUUUGAACCCA